UGGCGGACGGGUGAGUAAUGUCUGGGAAACUGCCUGAUGGAGGGGGAUAACUACUGGAAACGGUAGCUAAUACCGCAUAACGUCGCAAGACCAAAGAGGGGGACCUUCGGGCCUCUUGCCAUCGGAUGUGCCCAGAUGGGAUUAGCUAGUAGGUGGGGUAACGGCUCACCUAGGCGACGAUCCUUAGCUGGUCUGAGAGGAUGACCAGCCACACUGGAACUGAGACACGGUCCAG
rnacentral:rRNA from 1 species